GGAGAGGUGGCCGAGCGGUCGAAGGCGGCUCCCUGCUAAGGAGUUGAGCGGGUUUUCCCCGCUCCGAGGGUUCAAAUCCCUCCCUCUCCGCCA
rnacentral:tRNA from 1 species